rnacentral:rRNA from 1 species
UACGAGGGGGCGAGCGUUGUUCGGAAUUAUUGGGCGUAAAGGGUGCGUAGGCGGUUCCGCAAGUCCUGUGUGAAAUCUUCGGGCUCAACUCGAAGUCUGCACGGGAAACUGCGGGCUUGUAGUGUGGGAGAGGUGAGUGGAAUUCCCGGUGUAGCGGUAGAAAUGCGUAGAUAUCGGGAGGAACACCUGUGGCGAAAGCGGCUCACUGGACCAUAACUGACGCUGAUGACACGAAAGCUGGGGGAGCAAACAGG